rnacentral:sRNA from 1 species
AAGACUAUACUUUCAGGGAUCAUUUCUAUAGUAUGUUAAAUUAGUAAAUGAUGGAUAUUUAUCGAGUUUAGGAAGU